UUAUUUAUUCAUAGAACAUGUACAGUGUAGGAAGCUGAACUGAAAGCUUACUCCAUGCCUUCUUGCCAAUGGCCCUGCACCCUGCCCUGGAAGAAUGCUGGAUAUUUUCAGAAAUAAGAA
ensembl:misc_RNA